rnacentral:rRNA from 1 species
GACGAACGCUGGCGGCGUGCUUAACACAUGCAAGUCGAACGAAGAGCGAUGGAAGCUUGCUUCUAUCAAUCUUAGUGGCGAACGGGUGAGUAACGCGUAAUCAACCUGCCCUUCAGAGGGGGACAACAGUUGGAAACGACUGCUAAUACCGCAUACGAUCUAACCUUGGCAUCGAGGAUGGAUGAAAGGUGGCCUCUAUUUAUAAGCUAUCACUGAAGGAGGGGAUUGCGUCUGAUUAGCUAGUUGGAGGGGUAACGGCCCACCAAGGCGAUGAUCAGUAGCCGGUCUGAGAGGAUGAACGGCCACAUUGGGACUGAGACACGGCCCAGACUCCUACGGGAGGCAGCAGUGGGGAAUCUUCCGCAAUGGACGAAAGUCUGACGGAGCAACGCCGCGUGAGUGAUGACGGCCUUCGGGUUGUAAAGCUCUGUUAAUCGGGACGAAAGGCCUUCUUGCGAACAGUUAGAAGG